CCUACUUCCUGACUUGCCUGAGUUC
rnacentral:misc_RNA from 1 species